rnacentral:snRNA from 1 species
UGAAAGAAGGAAAGGCAAUGUGCAUCCCUCCCGAAGCUGCGAGCUCCGUAGAAAAGGAUGAGCACCCCUGACAGGGAGGACCGAACCUCAGCCAAGGGUGGAGGAGUGGCUGCGCUCCCCUGCUAGACCCUCCAAACAAGCUCUCAAGAAGGCAAGGCCAAUUAAUCCUGUAUGGCUGAAACUU